rnacentral:rRNA from 1 species
AGGAAGGUAGCCUCCGCGUGGCGAUGGUAGUCCACGUCCAAGGGUGUAGGGCGAGCUGUAGGCAAAUCCGCAGCUCACAUAGCCUGAGACCUGAUAGUGACCGCGUAUGCGGGAAGCAGGGUGAUCCUAUGCUGCCAAGAAAAUCUUCUAGCGAGGUUCGAGCCGCCCGUACCCCAAACCGACUCAGGUGGUUAGGUAGAGAAUACCAAGGCGAUCGAGUGAAUCGUGGUUAAGGAAUUCGGCAAAAUACCCCCGUAACUUCGGGAGAAGGGGGGCCCAGAGGGUGAAGGCACUUGCUGCCUAGCCUGAACGGCCGCAGAGACCAGGGAGAAGCGACUGUUUACUAAAAACACAGGUCCGUGCGAAGUCGCAAGACGAUGUAUACGGACUGACGCCUGCCCGGUGCUGGAAGGUUAAGAGGACCGGUUAGUUCUUCGGAGCGAAGCUGAGAAUUUAAGCCCCAGUAAACGGCGGUGGUAACUAUAACCAUCCUAAGGUAGCGAAAUUCCUUGUCGGGUAAGUUCCGACCUGCACGAAUGGCGUAACGACUUCUCCACUGUCUCAACCACGAACUCGGCGAAAUUGCACUACGAGUAAAGAUGCUCGUUACGCGCAGCAGGACGGAAAGACCCCGGGACCUUUACUACAGCUUGGUAUUGGUGUUCGGUACGGCUUGUGUAGGAUAGGUGGGAGACUGUGAAGCAUGCACGCCAGUGUGUGUGGAGUCAACGUUGAAAUACCACUCUGGUCGUUCUGGAUAUCUAACCUCGGUCCGUGAUCCGGAUCAGGGACAGUGCCUGGUGGGUAGUUUAACUGGGGCGGUUGCCUCCUAAAAGGUAACGGAGGCGCCCAAAGGUUCCCUCAGCCUGGUUGGCAAUCAGGUUUUGAGUGUAAGUGCACAAGGGAGCUUGACUGUGAGACAGGCAUGUCGAGCAGGGACGAAAGUCGGGACUAGUGAUCCGGCGGUGGCUUGUGGAAGCGCCGUCGCUCAACGGAUAAAAGGUACCCCGGGGAUAACAGGCUGAUCUUGCCCAAGAGUCCAUAUCGACGGCAUGGUUUGGCACCUCGAUGUCGGCUCGUCGCAUCCUGGGGCUGGAGUAGGUCCCAAGGGUUGGGCUGUUCGCCCAUUAAAGCGGUACGCGAGCUGGGUUUAGAACGUCGUGAGACAGUUCGGUCCCUAUCCGCUGUGCGCGUAGGAAACUUGAGAAGAGCUGUCCCUAGUACGAGAGGACCGGGAUGGACGAACCUCUGGUGUGUCAGUUGUUCUGCCAAGAGCACGGCUGAUUAGCUACGUUCGGAAGUGAUAACCGCUGAAAGCAUCUAAGCGGGAAGCACGCUUCAAGAUGAGGUUUCCAUGGGCUUCGGCCCGAGAGGCUCCCAGCUAGACUACUGGGUUGAUAGGCCAGACGUGGAAGCACAGUAAUGUGUGUAGCUGACUGGUACUAAUAAGCCGAUAACUUGACACAACAAAG